rnacentral:lncRNA from 1 species
CCCAACAAGAUUCAGCUUCUAAAGUAACAGUUAUAAGUUUGGACAACAAUAAGUGAAUCCCCUGUUUUUUAACAAGACAACAGAGAGCACCAAUGUACUCAGGCUCAUCUAGCAUUUCCUUUUCUUUUCUUUUCUACUGAUAAAGGGUUCUCAUCUAACAUCUUGUCCAUUAUAACUACAAUUACCAAUGAAAAGGCACACUAGCUUUCACUAAAAUAAUCAAAUUACAAACAGCUUAAUAAUUAAAUGCCUGCAUCAACAGGGAAAACAAACAAGUCUAUAUAUGAACUAACAAUUGGAUCAUCAAAACCAAAUUGCAAUUUCCCAAGAAUUUUGAGACAGUUAAAUUUUACUAAAAUAGUUUCAUCAGCCACUUGAAGUUUAUAAGAUUACAUAUGUAUAUAUAUAUAUGUAGAAGAUAUAAGAUGAGUAGCAUUUAAGAUUAUAAUAAAACCAAUUCUAUAAUAUUUGAAUAGAAAUUAUAUUAAACUAAUUAGUACAUUGUGUUUCAUGCAUAUAGGCUUUAUCACAGUUUAACAGUGGGACUCAGGUUGUUUAUUCAUCCCUUUUGCAUUUAACUUGUAGAAAUAUAAUAUUUGAUGUUGUAUUUCAUAAUAAAGAUUACAACCUAUUUAUAUAUAAAAGACGGUAUCUAAGCAGGAAAGAAAAUCAAGUCUAUAAUUAUACAAUCCCUAAGAUUAAACAACUAACCCAUUUAUCAAUAUUUACUUCCUAUAUUAAUAUAUUUACUUCCUAUAAUCUAUAACACUCCCCCUCAAGUUGGAGCAUAAAUAUUAAUCAUGUCCAACUUGUUACAUAUAUAAUCAACUCGUCCCAUACAACUUAACAGACACCGAAUUUGUAAACCCAACUUCUUCCAAUAAUUGACGUACCCACAAAACUUCACAAACGAUUUUUGCCAUGACUCGACAUUUAGAUUCAGCACUAGAACGGGAGACCACAUUUUAUCAGCUUGGUAAAACGCCUUACUGUGAAUAGAAUUUCGAAUCCGUGAACAGUACUCGUGACUCGUGAACAGUACCCGAUGAACAGUACUCGUGAACAGUACCCGAGAAACAGUAUUCGUGAACAGUACCCGAUGAAUAAUUCCCGUGAACAAUACUUGAUGAAUAAUUCCCGUGAACAAUAUCUGAUGAAUAGAGCCCUAAGUCUCCAAGUGUUAUCCUUAUGGAUAACCCAAAUGAACAUAAACUUAAGUCUCCAAAUGUUACCCUUUAUGAGUAACCCAAAUGAAUAGAGCCCCUAAGUCUCCAAAUGUUACCCUUUAUGAGUAACCCAAAAUAAACAGAGCCUUAAGUCUCUAAAUGUUACCCUUUGUGAAUAACCCAAAUGAACAGAACCCUAAGUAUCCAGAUGUUACUCUUUAUGAGUAACCCAAAUGAACAGAUCCAAAUGUUACUCUUUAUGAGUAACCCAAAUGAACAGAGCGCUACGUCUCCAAAUGUUAUCCUUUAUGAGUAACCCAAAUGAAUAGAGCCCUAAGUCUCCAAAUGUUACCAUUUAUGAGUAACCCAAAUGAACAGAGGCCUAAAUCUCCAAAUGUUACUCUUUUAUGGGUAACCCAAAUAAACAUAGCCCUAAGUCUCCAAAAGUUACUCCAAAAGUUACUCUUUAUGGGUAACCCAAAUGAAUAGUAUCAAAAAGACGCCUUCACCCAACACCCAAACGGCAAACGAACCACAAAUCUGACAAGGGAGCUGCAAGUCGACUUUGGCAUCCUCUCUAGGUGAACGGUGAGAGACAAAUAUUAUCCUAGAUGGAUAACACAAAAGAACAGGAGUCCUGAGUCUCCAAAAAUUUAAAACUUGACGAGAGAGAAAAUAAAUCUCUACAAACCUAGCUCUGAUACCAUGUAGAAAUAUAAUAUUUGAUGUUGUAUUUCAUAAUAAAGAUUACAACCUAUUUAUAUAUAAAAGACGGUAUCUAAACAGGAAAGAAAAUCAAGUCUACAAUUAUACAAUCCCUAAGAUUAAGCAACUAACCCAUUUAUCAAUAUUUACUUCCUAUAUUAAUAUAUUUACUUCCUAUAGUACAUUGUGUUUUAUGCAUAUAGGCUUUAUCACAGUUUAACAGUGGGACUCAGGUUGUUUAUUCAUCCCUUUUGCAUUUAACUUAUUGUUUAUACUGACACACUAGCCAUAAGACCUCUAGCCUUCACACAAGCAACAUAAUAAUUCCAUAAGCAACAAGAGUGCCAAGCUACAUACAUUUAGUAUUACAAAACACCAAUGGGAAAACAAACACACAUCCGAAACUGUGAUAAAAAGCACAAGGUAGCAUGUUCUGAGCUAGUAAUUAUUAUAACUGG